rnacentral:rRNA from 1 species
ACGCUAGCGGCAGGCUUAUACAUGCAAGUCGUACGGUAAGGUCUCUUCGGAGAUACACGAGUGGCGCACGGGUGCGUAACGCGUAUGCAANCUGCCCAUAACUGGAGAAUAGCUCCCGGAAACGGAAAUUAAUACUCCAUAAUAUUACACAUUCGCAUGUUUGUGUGAUUAAAGCUUCGGCGGUUAUGGAUGGGCAUGCGUGACAUUAGCUAGUUGGUGAGGUAACGGCUCACCAAGGCAACGAUGUCUAGGGGUCCUGAGAGGGUUCACCCCCACACUGGUACUGAGACACGGACCAGACUCCUACGGGAGGCAGCAGUAAGGAAUAUUGGUCAAUGGGCGAAAGCCUGAACCAGCCAUGCCGCGUGCAGGAUGACAGCCCUACGGGUUGUAAACUGCUUUUCUGCAGGACAAAACUCCUCAACGUGUUGGGGACUGAUGGUACUGCAGGAAUAAGCAUCGGCUAACUCCGUGCCAGCAGCCGCGGUAAUACGGAGGAUGCAAGCGUUAUCCGGAUUUAUUGGGUUUAGAGGGUACGUAGGCGGAUUUGCAAGUCAGUGGUGAAAUCUCCCCGCUUAACGGGGAAACUGCCAUUGAUACUGUUAAUCUUGAGUAACAUGUGAAGUGGGCGGAAUACGGUAUGUAGCGGUGAAAUGCAUAGAUAUGCCGUAGAACACCGAUUGCGAAGGCAGCUCACUAAAUUGUCACUGACGCUGAGGUACGAAAGCGUGGGGAUCAAACAGGAUUAGAUACCCUGGUAGUCCACGCUGUAAACGAUGAUCACUCGCUGUUGGCGAUACACUGUCAGCGGCUGAGCGAAAGCAUUAAGUGAUCCACCUGGGGAUUACGAUCGCAAGAUUGAAACUCAAAGGAAUUGACGGGGGCCCGCACAAGCGGUGGAGCAUGUGGUUUAAUUCGAUGAUACGCGAGGAACCUUACCUGGGCUUAAAUGCUUAACGACCGUUGCCGAAAGGUGACUUUCCUUCGGGACGUUUUGCAAGGUGCUGCAUGGUUGUCGUCAGCUCGUGCCGUGAGGUGUCGGGUUAAGUCCCAUAACGAGCGCAACCCCUAUUCUUAGUUGCCAUCAGGUAAAGCUGGGGACUCUAAGGAAACUGCCUACGCAAGUAGUGAGGAAGGUGGGGAUGACGUCAAAUCAGCACGGCCCUUAUGUCCAGGGCUACACACGUGCUACAAUGGCCGGCACAGAGGGUAACUACUACGCGAGUAGAUGUUAAUCUCGAAAUCCGGUCUCAGUUCGGAUCGAAGUCUGCAACUCGACUUCGUGAAGCUGGAAUCGCUAGUAAUCGCGCAUCAGCCACGGCGCGGUGAUACGUUCCCGGGCCUUGUACACACCGCCCGUCAAGCCAUGA